UCUUUUUCCUCUACGUUCAGCUUUUCUACUGUUUCUACUGCAUGUAUAUUACCGCGCACACAUUUUCUUUUCUUUUAUUUUUUCAUUUUUCCACACUUGUCUACAUCUCGCAUUUCGUCUGCGUGUUUUACAUGGAUUAUUGCAUCAAUCUCAAACCUCUGCUGAUUUGGAACCACCACAACAACAGCAAACAAUUGCGUGAGGGAUUCACAUCGAUCUCAAACCUUUGCCGCUCAAGAACAACCAUAACAACAACAACAGCAACAAACAAUUGUGCCUUGGCAUUCGUAUCUUGAGGUUACCAGAGCCGGCCAGAUCCAGCUCCGUUCCUGCUUGGUUUCGGACUCCACUGCUACGUGUCUCUGAGUGAUGACAACUAAAUGCAGCCAGUGCAAGCCAGACAUCACUUCAGUCUAUUACGAUGGACUUCAGCGGUUGAACUGAUGCCAACUCCAGUGAUAAGACAUGGAAUACUUCAUAUGCCACUGCCUGAACCUUGGAUUUAGGAUAGACCUCACAGAAAUGACCUGCAGACUGAACUGCGAUGCACCUCACUGAUCUCUGCCUGCAUCACCUUGGUCUUAUGAUGGACUACACUCUUAAAAUGAAAUUCAUAGACUACCAAAUAAUUGCCAACAAAAGCCUUCAUCAGCCAACUGACAAAGGACAAUGCAGUUAAUCCAGGAUGAACUUCAAAGACAUUAGUCAUUAAUCUUACAGUUCAUUCAAAAUCUUUGUUUAAACAUUGGUCCUUAACACUUACUUAGUUUACUCAUUUUAAACCAUGACUUGCACUGCACAUAAAGAACUAAUAUUGGCAUUAUAUUCAUGCUGUUUAGCCAGAGGGGAACUGGCCCCUAUAGUGAGCCUGGUUUCUCCUAAAAUUAUUUUUUUCCAUUAACCAACAUCUUAUGGAGUUUUGUGUUCCUUGCCACAGUUGCUUUCGGCUUGCUCACUUAAUUAUUUAUUUUUAUACACAAUUUAUAAUCAUAUUUAAUCAAACAACACAAUGAUGACUCUAAGAGUUUAUAAAUAUUACAGUUUCAUUUUCUGUUAAUGCAUGAUUUUCUUUAAAGCUGAUUUGAAACAAUGUGUGUUGUGAAAAGUGCUAUACAAAUAAAAAUGACUUGACUAAUGUGUGUUUUAUACCAUGCCACAGUGUAGACUAAUUGGAUUUUCCUAACUGUCUCUUUUGUUUGACAGAGGUGGUGUGCAUAAAGCUGUGUUGGUAUGAAUUUGUUUGGCAAAGCAGCUGGAACUCUACUGAUGGGAGUGACCUGGGAGGGAGAUAUCAGUAAAUCUGUGAGUUUUUCUCAAAGGUGGCGUAAGGCAAAAUGUUUGCACAGCUAAGACUAAAGAGUCUUGAUUCUAUUUGGUCAAACUUUGCAAAAAUAACUUGUAAAUCAAGAAUCACCCCAUUUAUAAAUAUAUAUUUAUUUGUUUUCCCAUAUUAGCUUGCUCUGCCAAGGUUAUUGAGAAUGGCCCACAAGGUACGUUCAUUCAGCCACAGUUUACAAACCUGCUAGGCAGGAGAUUUGCAUGUAGAGUCCCAGGUAACUAUUUGAAUGAAGCUUUAUCUCCAGUCACACCAGAGAUUUUACACAGCCUCUGGCAGUGUGCAGAACCUUCAGCAAGACCAACGGAACUGUGUAUCCGGAUCCUCAUCAGGGCGGAGACACAAAAAGACAAAUACUGCAAAGCCUUGUUUGCUGACUCUUCUCAUUUUUCACUGUUCCAGGACUGAUUUCUAACACAUUUACAUUACGUGUUCACCGCCCCUUCAACCUUCAAUGAGAUUUAAUAAUCCACUUUUAUGAAUUGACUAUGCACCUUACAACUGCAUUUCAAACAGUAGUAUUUAUUUAGCAUUCUUAUUAAGACACAAGAGUUUUAUAAAUAGAACAGAACAAAAAGACUAAAUCAAAUCUUAACACAUACAAUCAUUUCACUGCAUUUAAAAAAGCACUCAUAAAAAGUGUCUCAAUUUAAGGGUACUAAAAAGGAUUCAAAAGGUCGCACACAGGCCACUUCAUGAGAACAGAAAUAUGGCGUGCUAACUAACAUGUGGGUGUGAGUUAUAGUUUAUAAAUCCAAAAGAACUCUAAAUUUGCAUUAAUCUUGUCACAUUACGGUUUUGAUGAAUUUCUGGAUUUAAUAGAGGAACACAUUUUGAAGAGGAAGGUGAAUUCUAAGAUAAGAAAAGAUGCUCUGUGACAUCUUAAAAGGAUUUUUCAGGUUCAAUACAAGUUAAGCUCGAUCAACAGCAAUUGUGGCAUAAUGUUGACUACCACAAAAAUGUAUUUGAACUUCUCCCUCCAUUUCUUUAAAAGAAAAAGAAAAAAUGUAGGUUACAGUGAAGCACUAACAAUGGAUGUAAAUGGGGCCAAUUGUAAACGUUAAAAUACUCAUUGUUCAAAUGUAUAGCCACAAGACGUAAACAAUAUGCUUGAUAACAUGAUUUUAGUGUGAUAAAAUCACUUUCCUUUUCUGUGCAAAGUUACAACUUCGUUGCGAUGAUGACAUAUUGUUGGUGACAAUUAACUGCAUGUUCAUCCACCUAGAACAGUAGAUUAUAAACUUCACACAUUUAAAGGCAUGAUUUUCAAUUAUUCAAUUCAAUUGUUUAUUUAUUUAUUAUUUAUUUAAACUGCACAAUCAGGACUUUAAGACAUUACAGCAUCAUUUUCUGUAAAACUGCUUUGAAACAAUGUGUUUUUUGAAAAGCACUAUACAAAUAAAAAUGACUUGACAUUUCUGCCUUUUAACCCUCCAAAAAUUGGCCCUUCAAUUGUAAUUGAAGGAAAUUUUUUAAAGAAAUUAUUCCACAAAUUCUGUCGAUUGAGCUUAACUUGUUGAUUGAGCGAACUCGGAUUCCUUUAACAUGAGUUGAUUUAAAGAAACAAAACAAACUCUAACUUUUAAUUUCAUAUAUUUCCAUUGUUUUUUUUUUGUUUGUUUUUUUACAGCCAUGGGUGGUCU